rnacentral:rRNA from 1 species
UACGAAGGGGGCUAGCGUUGCUCGGAAUCACUGGGCGUAAAGGGUGCGUAGGCGGGUCUUUAAGUCAGGGGUGAAAUCCUGGAGCUCAACUCCAGAACUGCCUUUGAUACUGAAGAUCUUGAGUUCGGGAGAGGUGAGUGGAACUGCGAGUGUAGAGGUGAAAUUCGUAGAUAUUAGGAAGAACACCAGUGGCGAAGGCGGCUUACUGGUCCGGUACUGACGCUGAGACGCGAAAGCGUGGGGAGCGAACAGG